ACCUAAUCUUUGCACCGUUACUCUACUAAAAUCUCACUCGCACCCAUCACCAAAGCUCAAAUACUCCCGAAGUUUACUCAGAGUUCAUCACUAGAACUUUGAGAUAACUGAGCUAAGCCCCUGUCAAACCAAGACAAACCCAGAUCAGUAAAGAAGAACGGAGAAGAAAGAGGAGAAGAUCUCAGAAAGCCAUAAAAGAUCAAUUACCUCACCUCGCCGGAGUUCGAACAUCGGACUAGCUCCGAUUUGGUAUUUAAACUUCUCCUUUACAUGAUUUGAGGUUACCAUCUUGUUCGCAUUGCUUCAUAGAACGCAAACCCCGUGAUUAUUGCAUAAAAUUGUUGUUACCAUGGUUUUGAUUUUAAGCUGAAAACUUAGGCUUCUAGUUGUUGUUGUUUUCCGAUUUGGCUCUUUGGAUUUUUUUGGGUUUGUAAAUCUACUUGUUUAAAUCUGGAUUUAGGAAUGAUUGUUUGGUUAGGAGUUUGAUGUUGGUUUCCGAAUCUCGCGACGACACCACCAUGACAGUGCAAAGAUGCCGUCGUAGAGCUCCACCGUUAUUGCCGUGAUGUUCCAAAUGUCUGAGUUCGAUUUCAGGAUAGAAAAAAGGAAAAUAAAAUGAAUUUGAGAAGAAUGGUUUGUAAGAGAGAAGGAUAGAAAGAGGUUCAUGGUUGAGGGAGAUAGAAACUUUAUGACUUUUUCUUUUCCAAUCCGCAGAUUCGCUUUUAUUCCAUUCCCUUUAGUACUUAUUAAUUAAGUGGUUUCCAUGUGGUAAUU
rnacentral:lncRNA from 1 species